UACGAAGGGUGCAAGCGUUACUCGGAAUUACUGGGCGUAAAGCGUGCGUAGGUGGUGCGUUAAGUCUGUCGUGAAAGCCCCGGGCUCAACCUGGGAAUGGCGAUGGAUACUGGCGCGCUAGAGUGCGGUAGAGGAGAGUGGAAUUCCCGGUGUAGCAGUGAAAUGCGUAGAUAUCAUGAGGAACACCAGAGGCGAAGGCGGCUACCUGGACAGUUACUGACGCUCAGGCACGAAAGCGUGGGGAGCAAAGGG
rnacentral:rRNA from 1 species